rnacentral:rRNA from 1 species
AGUGAACGCUGGCGGUAGGCCUAACACAUGCAAGUCGAACGGCAGCACAGUAAGAGCUUGCUCUUACGGGUGGCGAGUGGCGGACGGGUGAGGAAUACAUCGGAAUCUACUUUUUCGUGGGGGAUAACGUAGGGAAACUUACGCUAAUACCGCAUACGACCUACGGGUGAAAGCAGGGGAUCUUCGGACCUUGCGCGAUUGAAUGAGCCGAUGUCGGAUUAGCUAGUUGGCGGGGUAAAGGCCCACCAAGGCGACGAUCCGUAGCUGGUCUGAGAGGAUGAUCAGCCACACUGGAACUGAGACACGGUCCAGACUCCUACGGGAGGCAGCAGUAGGGAAUAUUGGACAAUGGGCGCAAGCCUGAUCCAGCCAUACCGCGUGGGUGAAGAAGGCCUUCGGGUUGUAAAGCCCUUUAGUUGGGAAAGAAAAGCAGCAGGUUAAUACCCCGCUGUUCUGACGGUACCCAAAGAAUAAGCACCGGCUAACUUCGUG